rnacentral:rRNA from 1 species
GACAGAGGGUGCAAACGUUGUUCGGAAUUACUGGGCGUAAAGCGAGUGUAGGCGGUGUGGUAAGUCGGAUGUGAAAUUCCUGGGCUCAACCUGGGGGCUGCAUUUGAUACGUGUGGACUAGAGUGGGGAAGAGGGUCGUGGAAUUCCCAGUGUAGAGGUGAAAUUCGUAGAUAUUGGGAAGAACACCGGUGGCGAAGGCGGCGACCUGGUCCUUGACUGACGCUGAGGCGCGAAAGCGUGGGGAGCAAACAGG